AGCCGCGGGGUCCGCGUCAGCAGCCGCGGCGGAGCGAGGCCGGGUCUGCGGCGCGUUGGAGCAUCUCAGGUGCGGCCCCGCCCCACCUGCCCGCGGCCCCGCCCCGGCCCAGGUAAGCGGCUCCGCGUCAGCCAGUACUGUGAAAAUAGUAAGUGUGUCCCAAAGAACAUCUUUCAAGAAAUAUAAUUAUUGGGGGUGAUACUAGAUUCAAAAUGGAGGUACCCCCAGCAACCAAGCUUGGCGAGACUUUUGCAUUUCAGGAUAGGUUAGAGAUGCAGGAAGAACUUUUCUCAGAGGAGGACCUGGGGGACCCUUUUCUUCAAGAAAGAGGUUUAGAACAAAUGGCUGUUAUCUACAAGGAGAUCCCUCUUGGGGAACAAGACGAGGAGCAUGAUGAUUAUGAGGGAAAUUUCAGUCUGUGUUCAAGCCCUGUUCAGCAUCAGAGUGGCCCCUCAGUGAACAUACCCCAGGAUGAUGAAAUAUUUGCCCCAGCCUUCCUCCAGAAAUCAGACCUUAGCAUAUGUCAGAUAAUCCACAGUGGAGAAGAACCCAGCAAACAUGAUUGUGGAAAAGUGGGUAGGGAGGACUUGGUCCCUAACGAAUCUCACAGGACUGCACAACCAGCAAAGCCCUAUGCAUGUCGGGAGUGUGGGAAGGCCUUCAGCCAGAGCUCACACCUUCUCAGGCACCUGGUAAUCCACACGGGGGAGAAGCCCUAUGAGUGCUGUGAGUGUGGGAAGGCUUUCAGCCAGAGCUCACACCUUCUCAGACACCAGAUAAUCCAUACCGGGGAGAAGCCCUACGAAUGCCGGGAAUGUGGGAAAGCCUUUCGCCAGAGCUCAGCCCUUACGCAACAUCAGAAAACACACACUGGGAAGAGACCCUAUGAGUGUAGAGAAUGUGGAAAAGAUUUCAGUAGGAGCUCAAGUCUCAGAAAACAUGAGAGAAUUCACACUGGAGAGAAACCUUAUCAGUGUAAGGAAUGUGGGAAAUCCUUCAACCAGAGUUCAGGCCUGAGCCAGCAUCGGAAAAUCCACACUCUAAAGAAACCCCAUGAAUGUGACCUCUGCGGGAAAGCCUUCUGUCACAGGUCCCAUCUCAUCCGGCACCAGAGAAUACACACAGGGAAGAAACCAUACAAAUGUGAAGAGUGUGGGAAGGCCUUCAGCCAGAGCUCCAACCUGAUUGAACAUCGUAAGACUCACACUGGUGAGAAACCCUACAAAUGCCAUAAGUGUGGGAAAGCCUUCAGCCAGAGCUCCUCCCUUAUCGAGCACCAGCGGAUCCACACAGGGGAGAAGCCCUAUGAGUGUGGCCAGUGUGGGAAGGCCUUCUGCCACAGCUCUGCACUGAUUCAGCACCAGAGAAUCCACACUGGGAAGAAACCCUAUGCAUGCAAUGAGUGUGGCAAAGCCUUCCGGCACAGGUCUGCCCUCAUCGAGCAUUAUAAAACCCACACCAGAGAGAAACCCUAUGAGUGUAACAAAUGUGGCAAGUCCUUCAGGGGGAGCUCGCACCUUAUUCGACAUCAGAAAAUUCAUGCUGGGGAGAAGCUCUAGAAGAAGAGCUCACACCAAGGUUUGAAAGCCUCUCCCAGGCAGAGCUCACCAUGGUUACUGUCUGUAAGACCUCACCCACCUCCCUGAUGACAGUGCCAAGUGUAAAGGUGCCAACCUAGGCAUUCCUGAACACCCCCAGUAGCAACAAGCCCCCCAUUCCUAUGUGGCUGCUAGCCAGGUGCCCCAUGCUUAGAUUUGCUGGGUGGAAGGGGAAGUGGGGUGAUGGCAAGGCCACUGGAAGGGAGGCUUGCCCAAAGAGAGCUGGCCUCUGGUUGUCUCAUUCUGAUUUUGACCCCCGAGCCUGUGAGAUUUAGUUUUGCCCUCUCUUUGCUUUUGCCAGAAUCCAGAAGAAUAAACAUCAGAGGGAGGAAGCUGAGUUAAACCCUCAAAAGUGUCAGAUGGACUCUUUAAUGUCAGGCUGCAGUCUGGCACUUUUAGAAGAUAGAAACCAUGACCCCAGUCCAAAUCAGCUGGAAAAAAAGGAAUCCCCAAGUAGAUGCAUCAGCAACAAAAUGGAAUCUUCUGCCUGGCUUGGGCAUUGGUGGGGACAGCCAAAACAAGUUAUAGGACAAAGGGAGGGUCUGGGACUGGGGAAGAGGGCAGUAAGCCUCUGGCAUGGUGUCUCACCGCUCAUUCUGGGUUACAGUGAGGGCAGUCUAUGGCAGAUGGCUCUUUCUCAGGAGGUACAGGAGCUUUCUACAGGAGCUUUGGUCCUGUAGGCCAGGGGACGUUUGACACUGGCUCUGACUCAGCCUGGGCACUACCCACUAUGCCCUCUAGGAGUAAUCUGCCCACCAGACCCAGGGUUUCCAAGACCGCUUCGUGCCUUGGACAUCAGCAGGGCCCAUUUCUGUUCUCUGCCUUCCAGUGCUAGGGCAUGUAGAAAGCAGGGUGUUGCAGUAAGAGGUCUGGGUUCAGGUCCUAGUCCCAGCCCCUCACCCCCAAAACUGCAUGACCUUGAGGAAGCCCUGAGGCUUCGUUUCCUCUAAGGGUUCAUGCAAGGCUCCCAUUCAGAAUGAGACCUUGUGUGAAAGUGCUUUGGCAACUGGCGAUUAAGGAUGGAGACCCAGAGUGACUCCUGCCCCACCUGGAGAUGCUUUCCCCAUAGAGCAGAGAACCAUUUCUGGGUCCCAGAUGGCAGGGCUUAUAGCAGGCCCUUUCAUUAAGCCAGGGCUUUCCUUCCCUCCCUCAAGCUUGCAACCCAGGCUGCAGAUGCCUUGUGACGUGGAUGCUGCCAGACACCACCCUGAGCCUCCCUGGGGUGGCAGUAUGGUCUGUGUCCCCGUACUUCUCUCCUCCCCACUGGGGAUUGUUUAAAAAGUACCAUUGCCUGAAACCUGUCCAGACCAAUUCAGUUGGCAUCACCAGAGGUGGUGCUCAGACAGUGGUGUGUUUUUAAGGCUCCUCAGGAGAUUAUAACGUUCUAACACCUAGUCAGGCUGUGAGCCCUGUGCCAGGCAUCUGUGUAGCUACAGGGUCUCCCAAAUGUCAGGCCUGCUCGCUCUGACCGAGCAGAAGUUGAAGACAGCCAUUCUGUCUUGGUCCUCUGCCUCCCCACCCCCCAGGUUGGGAUUAGGUAUGUCUGACAGGUUGAUAAGCAUGUCCCAGGCCCUCUGGCCUUCGUGGGGCCACAGCAGUCGAGUACUGGUUUCUCCGGGCUCUGGGUGUGGUAGGGAGGCAGUCUGAGGUAUUUUGAAGGUUUCUAAAAGUUAAUGGCUGGAAUUCCAUGAACUCAUCGCAGUAAUACUGCUUAUUUCAGCUCAUCAGAAGCUCCUCUUGGCAGUUAUGUGUACUUUUAAUGAAUAAAAAUGGGAAAUCCCUAAUUGCUAGUUAGUAAGAGAUUGUGGAAUAGGUCUGACAGAGCUGGGGAGCUCACAGUGGGAUUCCAGACGGUGGAAAUGCAGCUGCUUCUCUGUCCAGCUCUUCUCUUUGCUGUGUAUUUGAGACAUUUAUCAGCACCCUAGGGCCCCCCUAGAAACCAUCGCAUCAGCAGCCUGGCCUGAUGGGACAACGCCUGGGUGUUGUCUGCAGGUGGUCUGCACCAAGGAUCUUAAGUCUUUUACUUGGAGUGAAGAGGGAAUGUGGAGACCCUUGCUCUGUGUGGUGGGACAGCAGCCCCCACAAGGUCUACCUCCUUGGUACCCCCAUUCAGCCUCAGACUUGACUGGGCCUGUCAUCAGGCAUUCAUCUGUUUCCUACCUUUGCUGUCUCCCUUGGCAUACUUACGUACACCCCAACCAAAUUGAUUUUUUAAAGCAUCACUUUGCACAUGUCACCACUCUCCUUAAAACCAACCUUCAGGGUAAAGCCCCAUUUCAGCCAUCUAGUUUACCCCCUCUAAACAAGCCACAUAUAGUUCAUGCCACCCCUGCCCAGAUGCCCUCUCUAUGCCCAGCUUCUCUCAAUUCAUUUUAUGCAGUUCUCACAUUUUGGAAUAUGCACUUUCUCCUCCUCUCCCCCCAUCUCCAUUAUUAUCUUUUUGACAGUUUAUGUAACAUGGGGAUUAAGACCCUCUUUCUGAAGGGUUGACAGAGUCUCACAUAACCAUGGUAAGACUAGGUACUUUUUCCUUUUGAAAGUGAGCAGAACCUAGUGCCCUCUGUUCAAUUUCCUUCACUAUUUUGUUACUUAUUUUUAAUUCCUUUCAUUUAUUUAGGUUCUCAAACAGUGUAACAUGAGAUCGUCCUGGUAAAUAUUUUAAUUGUCCUUGAAUUUAGUUAUCACUUGUUUGUUUUGUUAUCUUACAUUUUGUUCCUUCUUACUGAGUGAUGUUGAGUGUUGUAAAUCUCCAACUCCUGUUUACUAACUGAAUUGUGUUGUCAAAAUAUAUGUGUUCUGCUCUUUUCUAUUUAACUUAAUAUCUUACCUUCCUAAGAUUAUUUUGAUAUGGCUUAUCAGAUUUUUAAUGUUUCUAGUAAAUGUAGGUGCUUUGGUCUAUAAUUUUUUCAUAUAGUUAGAGUUCUUUCUACACUCCAAAAAUUUGACAUGUGAUAUGUUUUGUUAUUGUAUUAGGAAUUUCCUUUUGGCCCAUGUUACUUUUUUUGCCAAAUAAUGAAUGUUUAGGUCAUUGCUGAUAUUUCUUAUUACCCUGUGGAGUCAACAUUUUUAAGUUUCCAUAGAACUUCUCUGGGCCUGAAUAUAUUGUCAGUUUUUAUAAAGCAUUUGUGUACUUUCAAGAAAUGUGUUUCUACUCUAUCAGUUCUAUUUGUUAACUCAGUUUUUAAAUUAUUCAAAUCCAUAUUUGUUUAUGUCAGAGUUCUUAACCUAAGAUAUGUGGACUGAUUAGGAAUCUGAGCCUGCAGGGGUUUUAGAGGUUGCAGACCCAUAGGGAUUGAACAAAACUGUGGAUAUGUGCGUGAAUGAGUUGUUCUGGGAAGGGGGUCUAUAUCAUUCACCACAUUUUGGAAAAGCUCUGUGACCCAAAAUAGUUAAGAACAUUAAUUUAUCUGGUCAAAUCAUAGCCUGAUUUUGUGUUUUUUGUUUAUGUAUUUCUAGUUCACUCUAAUUUCUGUUCCUAUUUUAUGUAUGUUGUUGCUAUGUUAGACGUGCAGUUCUCUUAAAUCCUUUUUGAGAAAUACACAGGAUACAAAUGACCAAUAAGUAAACAAGUGUAGAGGCCAGCCUGCAGACCUGUCCCGAUCUGACACCCCCUCCUUUCCCAGGCCAUGCUGCAGCCGCACCCAGCUUCCAGGUUCUCAAGCAUGACUUCCUCUGGUGGGAAGGGUGUCCUCUGGGGGACACUCCUCUCCCACCCACGAGAGGAGCAUGGGCCGAAACCGGGGAGGCCUCUUCCAGGGUCAGCCAUGCUAGCCCUCCAACCCCUUUGGUCUUGUGCUGUGUUCUGGGCGUCAGGAGUGACUGAGCCACGGAGGAUGGCCAAGGUCAGGGUCAGGAACAGCACUCCGGUUAGUGGUGAGUGAGAAGACAGAGGGGUCCGAGAUAGGGUGACUUUUGUCUUAUGUGUCAUUGUGUCACUGUCACAUCAUUUAACCCUGGCUUAUUUAUGUGUUUCCUGAAAAUUGCUUCACAAGCACCCCAACUAUGGUUUGGCCUGAGUCCUCAUCCUCCGCAGCCUGGCUCCUGACCGUGACCUGCCAGGCCUCAGGCGGAUGCUCACAAGGGCUGAAGCUUGCCUCAUGCUUUGUUUCUUCCCCAUGUGAUGGGAGCCAGGGCCCAGCAGGAGUUUCGAGGGAAGGUGGGUUCAGAGCAAAGUGAGGUGGGAAGAUGUUGGAGCCGGUCAAGCAUCUGACUGGGCCCUUUGUCAUUUCCUGGGCUCAGAUACCAACGGUGAGAGCUCUGGCAGGAGCCUGUUUCCCCACAGAAGCGGGAAGGGGAGUGAGAGGCAGGGAGAGGAAGAGACCCGACAAUCCAGGGGGAAAAGGGGGAACCCGGAUGGGGAAACAGCAGGUCUCCACAUCAGACCUCAGCCCUGCCCCAGAGGGCAUAAGUGUGAGUGGGGUGGGAGGCCACCAGGGUGCAGUGAGUCUGACCUGGGCAGAGAGGCUGGGAGCAGGACCCUGCACCCCUGCCUGGUGCUCACUGGCUUGCCUCCCCUGGCCUCUUUCCAGCAGCACAGUCAGCUCCUGCUCCCCUCGGCCUCCGGCAUUCUGCAGGCCUGCAGCCAGACUUGCCUGGGAAGCCCAGCUCCAGAUAUGGGAUCCCAGGAAGCCAGGGAUCCUGGCUUAAUGCAUGAGUGCUGCCAGAUAAUUGUGCCAGAUAAUGACAUUGUGCUUUACUUUUUAGAAAAUAAUGUCAAAUGUAGCAAAGAAUCUUUGCUAGCAAUUAAUGGAAUAACAGGGCCCUGCAUGGGCAUCUGAUGGAGGCUUGAAUGAGGUGGUUAACAACCUCUUGGCCAUCCAUGGAGGAGAGUAUGUUCCAAGUGCAUAGCACACAUUCUUUCCAAGCACUCUUGGAGCAAAAGUGCACACAUGUUGGCUUAUAAAGAAAGUACAGGCAGCUAUUAAAGGGUUGAAGUACAGAUUGUGUUAUUGGAGCACGAGGCAAGAAUCCAGAAAACCAGGCUAUGGUGUUACUUCUCCCUUUAACCAGGAUUCAGAGGUGAUCUGUUAGGAUUCCAUGGACAAUGGUUAUAAGGGUCCAGACCGAUAAUUCUGAGAAAGGCUUCCUGCCAUGAGACUGGGAUCACCCUCCUUGAGAGGUCCUGCAGGAGGGGGGGGAUUGUGGGAGAGGGACCUUGAAAUCUGGGGAUUGUGACUAGGGGCUGCCUUCUUUCUCUACGUGCUUCUGCCAAAAAUGUGGAGUCACAGAGUUGGUGCUAGUCUUUACUACUUUAACUUGUUGAUCUUUAAAAUAAAUGUUAUUUUACCAGCAAAAAUGGGUUUAUUCUGGAACAGCACAGAACUGCAAUUCAGGACAUUCAAGCUAUAGCAAAAACCAUAGGCUUCUCCAAGAAAGGAAAGGACCAUUAUUUUAUGGAGAAGAAGAAAUUUGGGAGGGGUUGUUCUGAACCAAAGUCCUUUGGAGAAAGGCAAGCAUUCAGGGUGAAGACGGUGAGCUGCUGGCCUAGUCCGUCUCUUCUAGGAGACGAUGCAGUGCGCAUCUUCUCCUGUUGGAGGCUGGAAUGGACACCCCCCUUUCUGUUAAUGAUUGGCUGUUGGGUUUGUGAUGGAUAAUUCUUGACCUGAGUGGUAGGGCAGUUAGAGCGCUCCCUUCAGGUCUCUGGACUUCAUUUUAGUGAGGUUUCACUUUAUUUUAACAGGUUUCUGUUCCAGCUUUGUUUUGUCUUUGACUCGGUACAUGUGUUUGCGUUUGUGUCAAUCGGCAGGAGAAGAAUGAACAUCACCUACCUCCAUUCACACUCGCCCACAAGUGUUCACAGACACCUACACACACACACAUCCUCAAGAUGAGCUCUUUCUCAGGCCCCCCCCUCCGCCCCUCUCUGAGCCUCACUCUGUUACAUUCGUUCAUCCACUUGACCCAGGGGAGGAACCCUACUGUUCAUGGAAGCACCUCAGGCCAAGGAAGGGAAUCAGGACAGGAGGACGGGAGGGGAACCCGGUGGAGGACCGGCGGGGCCAGCGAUGACCUGCAGCUUGCGGGGACCUGGGGUGGGGGUGGGGCCCUUGGCUCCAGGACCCUCCUGGCCCCAACCCCAGAAGCCGGGCCACCCUAGCCCCCAACUGUGGAGUGAUCUGGAGGGGUCCGCCUAAGGGCACGCCCUAGGCCCAGCUUUUGCCGGGGCGCACACUAGAGGGGCUCCGGGGACGGGAACCCUGGGUAGGAGUGGGGCUUCCUGUGGUCUCCGGGGGUCGUCCCGCCCCGUCCCCAGUUAACCCCAGGCAGUCGCACCCCGGCUCCGGGACCUGUCUCACCAUCCCUGGCCGCCAGGGGUCUCUGUCCCCUUGCUGGA